CUCAACUAACAUACAGUAAUUGAGUGAAUGGAUUGGACAAGUUUUGCAUUUGUUGACUGAACAAAUGUGGGCGGCGUCAUUUGCGGUAAUGAACUUCGAGCAAAGGAAGUACGGCAAAGCCACAAAGUUUGUCGACACGGCCUCACGGAGGGACGAGGAGUGACAGAUGAAAGGAGGUCGUUGCUGAAGAUGUGCAUGUCUCCACAAUCAGCCAGAGAUGGCCAGCCCUAUUCUUGUUGGAUCAGGUACAUGCAGAAUUCAAAAGAGUAACAGGAAAAGAAUUGAUGGAAACGUUCUUCCCCUCCUUGGAUGAGCACACCAGAGCUCCGCACCGCAGCUCACCACCCCACUCAAGUGACACUAAGGAGUCUGUUGGAGUACCGAGACGAGCAGACCACAGAGAUCGUUAAACAUCGGAGGGUGGUGGCUGUCAAAGGGCUGCAGUAUUACCUGGGGGAGAAAACCGAGCUUUUCAACACCUGCCAG